AGAAUCAACGCUGGCGGCGUGCCUCAGACAUGCAAGUCGAACGCGAAAGUUCCCUUCGGGGGGCGAGUAGAGUGGCGCACGGGUGAGUAACACGUAGGUAAUCUACCUUUGGGUGGGGAAUAACAGCCGGAAACGGCUGCUAAUACCGCAUAAUGCAGCGGCUCGACAUCGAGACAGUUGUUAAAGCGGGGGAUUCGAAAGAACCUCGCGCCUAAAGAGGAGCCUGCGGCGGAUUAGCUAGUUGGUAAGGUAAUGGCUUACCAAGGCAUCGAUCCGUA
rnacentral:rRNA from 1 species